GCUUAUCACCAUUCCAGAUUGAAUAUACCCGAUCUCGUCUGAUCUCGGAAGUCAAGCAAUCUCGGGCUUUGGUAGUACUUGGAUGGGUGACCGCUUGGGAAUACC
rnacentral:rRNA from 1 species